rnacentral:lncRNA from 1 species
AUGGAGGUGAAAGGAGCGGGGCGCGGGGGACUCUGCCUUGCUGUGCUCUGUGUGGGUGUUGCGCUUGCCCUCAAGGGAGAGGGUGAGGGGGACAACAACAUCACCCAGCACAGCGAUAUCUCGGAGGCCACGGGGGCUCCCACCACGGCCACCUGGGAUGUGAGUGGGCUGACAACGGGACCAGUGGGCUCCCCCAGCCCCUCUGAUACUGGGAACCUCACCACCAUCACUGUGCCACUGCAAGCAGGUGCCCCAGGGAACCAAACCCGAAAUGAGUCGGGUUUCCCCAUCAGGUACUGGUCCCCCAUCAUUUUCGUGGUCCUCGCUCUGCUCGUGCUCCUCUUCACCUACCGCAGGACCAAAGGCAAUGGGUCGCAAGAGCCAACCACCUCCAUCAGUGACUUUUCAGAUGAGGCCACCCCAGAAAACGACACAGCUCUGAUUGUUACUGCUGCCCAGAAGAGAUCAGACAACCCUCCGCCCCAGGAGCUGAGCAAGACCACCCCCUGCCAGCCAGCCCCCCCCUCAGAACAGCCUUCCCAGGAGCCCACGGAUCCCACCACUGCAGGCAGUUCCCUCUGCUCUGGGGUUCCUGUUGACGACUGAGGGUAAAGCAGGGGAACCAGCAGCUUUUGGACACCCUGAAGGAGCACGAGGCCACUCCAGAGGGACAAACUGUGCCAACACACCUGGGCAGGAGACAGAUGGAUGCUAGAGGAUGUGAGCAUCACACACCACCUUGGUCCAGCCGAAGGAUGCUCAAUGCAUGGUCACCUCCCUGCAAGAUGAGGACCUGUGUGGGACGUGUACAUUUACUGUACCUAAGGGUAGGGCUGGGGGGGGUCACAAUGGAACCAAUAAAGCAGCCUUUUGCCCUAGAAAUCCUGGAUUU